rnacentral:rRNA from 1 species
AUUGAACGCUGGCGGCAUGCUUCACACAUGCAAGUCGGACGGCAGCACAGAGAAGCUUGCUUCUUGGGUGGCGAGUGGCGAACGGGUGAGUAACAUAUCGGAACGUACCGAGCAGUGGGGGAUAACUAAUCGAAAGAUUAGCUAAUACCGCAUAUUUUCUGAGGAAGAAAGCAGGGGACCAUUUGGCCUUGCGCUGUUUGAGCGGCCGAUAUCUGAUUAGCUAGCUGGUGGGGUAAAGGCCUACCAAGGCGACGAUCAGUAGCGGGUCUGAGAGGAUGAUCCGCCACACUGGGACUGAGACACGGCCCAGACUCCUACGGGAGGCAGCAGUGGGGAAUUUUGGACAAUGGGCGCAAGCCUGAUCCAGCCAUGCCGCGUGUCUGAAGAAGGCCUUCGGGUUGUAAAGGACUUUUGUCAGGGAAGAAAAGGACAGGGUUAAUACCCCUGUCUGAUGACGUACCUGAAGAUAG